AUGAACGCUAGCUACAGGCUUAACACAUGCAAGUCGAGGGGCAGCAUGAGCUUAGCUUGCUAAGCUUGAUGGCGACCGGCGCACGGGUGAGUAACACGUAUCCAACCUCCCGCUUACUCAGGAAUAGCCUUUCGAAAGAAAGAUUAAUGCCUGAUGGUAUCUUAAGCACACAUGUAAUUAAGAUUAAAGAUUUAUCGGUAAGCGAUGGGGAUGCGUUCCAUUAGGUAGUAGGCGGGGUAACGGCCCACCUAGCCUACGAUGGAUAGGGGUUCUGAGAGGAAGGUCCCCCACAUUGGAACUGAGACACGGUCCAAACUCCUACGGGAGGCAGCAGUGAGGAAUAUUGGUCAAUGGGCGCGAGCCUGAACCAGCCAAGUAGCGUGAAGGAUGAAGGUCCUACGGAUUGUAAACUUCUUUUAUACGGGAAUAAAGUGGCCUACGUGUAGGCUUUUGCAUGUACCGUAUGAAUAAGCAUCGGCUAACUCCGUGCCAGCAGCCGCGGUAAUACGGAGGAUGCGAGCGUUAUCCGGAUUUAUUGGGUUUAAAGGGAGCGUAGACGGGGGAUUAAGUCAGUUGUGAAAGUUUGCGGCUCAACCGUAAAAUUGCAGUUGAUACUGGUUCCCUUGAGUGCAGUUGAGGCAGGCGGAAUUCGUGGUGUAGCGGUGAAAUGCAUAGAUAUCACGAAGAACCCCGAUUGCGAAGGCAGCCUGCUAAGCUGUAACUGACGUUGAGGCUCGAAAGUGUGGGUAUCAAACAGGAUUAGAUACCCUGGUAGUCCACACGGUAAACGAUGGAUACUCGCUGUUGGCGAUAUACUGUCAGCGGCCAAGCGAAAGCAUUAAGUAUCCCACCUGGGGAGUACGCCGGCAACGGUGAAACUCAAAGGAAUUGACGGGGGCCCGCACAAGCAGUGGAGUAUGUGGUUUAAUUCGACGCAACGCGAAGAACCUUACCAAGUCUUGACAUCCCUUGACGAUGCUGGAAACAGUAUUUCUCUUCGGAGCAAGGAGACAGGUGGUGCAUGGUUGUCGUCAGCUCGUGUCGUGAGAUGUUGGGUUAAGUCCCGCAACGAGCGCAACCCUUAUGGUCAGUUACUACGCAAGAGGACUCUGGCCAGACUGCCAUCGUAAGAUGCGAGGAAGGUGGGGAUGACGUCAAAUCAGCACGGCCCUUACGUCCGGGGCUACACACGUGUUACAAUGGGAGGUACAGAAGGCAGCUACCCGGCGACGGGAUGCCAAUCCCGAAAGCCUCUCUCAGUUCGGACUGGAGUCUGCAACCCGACUCCACGAAGCUGGAUUCGCUAGUAAUCGCGCAUCAGCCACGGCGCGGUGAAUACGUUCCCGGGCCUUGUACACACCGCCCGUCAAGCCAUGAAAGCCGGGGGUACCUGAAGUGCGUAACCGCAAGGAGCGCCCUAGGGUAAAACCGGUAAUUGGGGCU
rnacentral:rRNA from 1 species